UACGUAGGGUGCGAGCGUUAAUCGGAAUUACUGGGCGUAAAGCGUGCGCAGGCGGGCUUUUAAGCCAGACGUGAAAUCCCCGGGCUUAACCUGGGAAUGGCGUUUGGGACUGGAAGUCUGGAGUGCGGCAGAGGAGACUGGAAUUCCUGGUGUAGCAGUGAAAUGCGUAGAUAUCGAGAGGAACACCAGUGGCGAAGGCGAGUCCCUGGACAACUCCUGACGCUGAGGCACGAAAGCUAGGGGAGCAAACAGG
rnacentral:rRNA from 1 species